UCAAAAAACUGUUUUUAUUUGUUUGGUUUACCAAUCCAGAGCACUGCCAUAUUAAUGCUGUGUCCUCUUCCAGUCUUUAAAUUCAUUGUUAAUCGAAUAUCCAGAGAAAUAUUUGUGAUUUGAGAGUCAGAUGUGGCAGCAAGCAGUGUGACUCCCUCACCUGCAGCUGCCUGUGGAGAUUGCAACCUAUUAUUAGUCUGUUGUGAAUGAGUACUUUUUCUCGUUGGUACACUGAUAAUUUAAGUUGAAGUAUGCUGAAGAAUGUAAGAACCUAUUUUCUAGAAACUUUGAAUCUGUACUUACAGGUAAAGCUGUGCUCAGCCUCCAUCAGUAAUGGACUCUGUGCAUGUGAUUUGAGGCUUGUCUUCCAACAGCCUCGAAGCUUUUCAUUGCAUUGCUUUCCCCAAAACUGCUUUUAAAACUAUAUUCUUUGGGGCAGAUCUCUCAUUCAAACUCCUGAAUACGGGCUUGUUACAGCCUAGUCAGGCUUGCUAAUCUCUAUAUGCAUGUCCCUAAUAGACGUAAAUUAGGAGGAUGCUUAAACAACCAAUGGGCUGGAAAUUAUUUAUUGCCCUCCCAUGAUACAAGCCUCUCAUUCUGGAGCUGAGUAAUCUGCUGCUUUCUGUUCAGCAUGCCUGUCCUAUGUGCCCAGUUGCUGACAACUUAGCAAGGGGUUUGUUCUUUCAGGGUUUUUCUGGGCUCUCUAUUCUUAUUGUCAGUUUUGUUCGGGAACCAUGUCAUUUGGGGAAAAUUGGCCAACGUCUUUAUUUUUUCCUAAUGAAUUUCCUAUUCUUUUUUUUGUUCUGUUGCUUGUAACUUGGUAUUCUUUAUUUUAUGGGGCAGCCUCUCAUUUGUUACCAAACUGGGAUAGGCUUUUACCCAAAUUCUGAGCCGUUAUUUUGCAAAGCAGAGCUGUUGGUUGGAGCCCCUGUUUGGUUAAUUCAGAGCUGGUUCCCCAUCUCUCAUGGCUUGUUGGCAAAGCCAAUGCUGAGUUUGCUAGGUUAAGUCUUGACAGGUCUGGGCAUGACCCUGCAUGAAGCAUUUGGGAUUCCCUAUCUAUGGUUGCUGGUUACUAAUGCACUACCUCAGUUGCUUAUUAUUUUGCAUCAGAAGGCAAGCCAUGCAUUUAGAAAUUCAGAUGACUUGUUACAGGCUGUGGGAGGUCUAGAGCACAUCUCUUCAAAGCUGAGGACUUCCGUUUCUGGAGCAUAAUUCUUCUCAUUUAUUUGUGAGCUGCUUAGCUGAUGACAUCCAUUCUCCAGCACAGUUGGAUCACAGACUCCCCUCGGUGCCCCUGUGCUUCAGAGAGUUUUCCUGCAGAUCUGUCCCACUGCAAGAUCAAGUAAGCAACUCUGAGUCAUCCCCAUAUGCAAAACAGAAAAAGAGCUUUCACAUAAAACAUCCUAUGUAUCUCGUAACCUUUUCAGGAAGGGUGGAACCUGGAGAUUUAAUAUUUGAAGGAUGUGAUUUAUGGCACCCUUUUUCUCACCCUGUUUGUGUCACUGCUUCUCUAAAGGAAGAAUUUUCACUUGCUUUUCCCUUUUAGCCAAACACCUGGGAUUUGUGUAAGCAAUUGGGGAAAACAUGGGGAGAAUUUUAAUAUUUUUGGCAGAAUUGCUUUGUAUGUUACAGUUUUUGUGCUGUAACUUUGCCUUCAGUCUGGCGUCCUCCUGGCUGGUGAGCUUAAUCCUCAACUGGAGAUUUUAGGAAUAAUGGAGAUGCAACCAGAAAUCCAGAAAAUGCAUCUCGUCUCACGCCAUGCUCAUUUUUGGUAUGAAACAGUUGACUAUGGAUUUCAAUCAAGGCAAAAAACCAACAGACCUUAGUCUGUGAAAUCCAAGUGGUUGCAUUUGUGCUGUUCCUUUGCAUGCCUAAACUUCAAGAAGUGGUUUAAUAUUCUCUGUUGCAGUUUUCCCUUUUAAUUUUGAAAAGGAAACAUUUUAAUUGCUUCCAUACAUGUGCUAACUUAAAAGGGUAAAAUUAUUGCAUCAUCAUUUUAUAGCACUUGGCAGAGACUACUCUUGCUAAUUUUAUCCCAAAUCAUACCAACUUAAAGCACUUUUCAUGCACUCUUGAUUUUUUUUUCACUACAUUUUUUAUACUAAAUGCACAAUUUAAAUGCUCUCCAUAAAGAUUCAAGUCUGAAUGACCUUGUGCCUGUUUGGAUGUCCUUCAUUUUAUCUAGUACAGAUUGUCAAAUGUAAUUCUGUAGCUCUUAUGAUAGAGUAGUCCCAAAAGUGAUGGUUCUGUGAGAAAAAUACAUCAGGGUGACAGUGGUGUACAACGGAGGGAGGAACUGAUGAUACUUCAUACUAAAAAAAUACCAAAUGGCCUCACUAGAAAUUCAUUUGU